UUUAUUGUGGCCUAAGUGGUUUGAGCGUCCGCCUCGGAUGCAGGUGGUGGCGGGUUUGAACCCCGACCGGGUUAAAU